rnacentral:tRNA from 1 species
AGCGGGUGUAGUUUAGUGGUAAAACUACAGCCUUCCAAGCUGUUGUAGCGAGUUCGAUUCUCGUCACCCGCUU